GUGGGGAAUAUUGCGCAAUGGGGGAAACCCUGACGCAGCGACGCCGCGUGAGUGAAGAAGUAUUUCGGUAUGUAAAGCUCUAUCAGCAGGGAAGAAGAUGACGGUACCUGAGUAAGAAGCCCCGGCUAACUACGUGCCAGCAGCCGCGGUAAUACGUAGGGGGCAAGCGUUAUCCGGAUUUACUGGGUGUAAAGGGAGCGUAGACGGAUGCACAAGUCUGAAGUGAAAGCCCGCGGCUUAACUGCGGGACUGCUUUGGAAACUGUGGAUCUGUAGUGUCGGAGAGGUAAGCGGAAUGUCCAGUGUAGCGGUGAAAUGCGUAGAUAUUGGGAAGAACACCGGAGGCGAAGGCGGCUUACUGGACGAUAACUGACGUUGAGGCUCGAAGGCGUGGGGAGCAAACAGGAUUAGAAACCCGAGUAGUCC
rnacentral:rRNA from 1 species